rnacentral:other from 1 species
GGUUUUCUGUGGAUCUACAUGGAAAAGUAAACCCUACAAGUAUUAAUAUCGGGGACUGUCUCUGACGAUGGUGAGCAAGCUCGGGCCUAGCACUUGAGAAGCCUAAAGUCGUUAUCACGGUGACCCACUUUAAAAUCUUGGGUUUACAUCCUGUUCUGUCCACAGAAAGUUU